CGACUUAGAGGAGAUGGAGCCCCCCACUCACCGAUGAGAAAACUGAGAACCACGGGGCUCGGGAGAAGGGACACGUUCGCCCUGUCCCCCUCCCCACCCAAAGCUUCCACAUCAGGGCCUCCCUCCGGGGAACCCCUGGCAGGGACUUUUGACGUUUCAUGGUGUCAGAAGUGGGAUUCAAACAGAAGACAGCCCCCCCACCCCCACCCCACACACAGACCCCGAGGCUGCUGAGCAAACAGACCCUGGCACCCACAGAGCCCACUGAGCUCACCACUUUCUUGUCGACCCUGAAGAGUGAAGGUGAGUCUCUCGAAUCUGAGCUCUCUCUCUUAGGUUCUAAGCUGCCCAAAUUUAUUGUGCAUGCCUGCUCAGAUGGCCAGUGUUUGUGUGCAAGACUCUCUAUUUGCAUCCUGUAAGGACCCUUUUGGAGCUGUGUUUUGGAGUCAUUUUGUCCUUUAGCAGCUUCUGUUUGCCAAUCAAAGAAUGCAUUCCAUUUUCUCUCUCUUGUUUUUGAAUAAGGUAUGAAGGAGAUGGGUUUUUGUUGUUAUUGUUUUGUUUUGUUUGGUUUGGUUUGGUUUUGGUUUUUCUUUUUUGGGGGGGGGGUAAGGGAGAAAGGAAGUAAUUUUGUCUUGAAUUAAAAUGAGUGUUCCAGAAUAAGAAGGGAAAAAGAUAGGACAAGAUCUAAAUGGUUAACGAAUGUUGCAGGUUUGUGGAAAGAGAUCUUGAAAAAGGAAUUUAAUGUGAAGUCAAGCUAAGAUUGGAAUGGAUUUAUUUAACUUAAAAAAAAAAAAAAGGAUUUUAGGAGAGCCUGGCUGGCUCAGUCAAUGGAGCAUGCCACUCUUGAUCUCGGGGUUGUGAGUUCAAGCCCUGUGUUGAGCGUGGAGCCCACUUAAAAUUAAAAAAAAAAGGGGGGGGGCGCCUGGGUGGCUCGGUCGGUUAAGCGUCUGACUUCAGCUCAGGUCACGAUCUCGCGGUCCAUGAGUUCGAGCCCCGCGUCGGGCUCUGGGCUGAUGGCUCAGAGCCUGGAGCCUGCUUCCAAUUCUGUGUUUCCCUCUCUCUCUGCCCCUCCCCCGUUCAUGCUCUGUCUCUCUCUGUCUCAAAAAUAAAUAAACAUUUAAAAAAAAUUAAAAAAAAGAAUUUUAAUAUCAAAAGUACAUGGUACAAAAUUAGAAUUUGGUUUCUGCUGUUAAAAUCACAUUUUUUUUAGAUUGUCAGUCUGCCCCUAACAAGAAAUUGUAAACAAAGGUGUUUCUGUACUUUUAAUGUAUUUUGCCUGCAAAGCAAAGAUUCUGUAUUUUUUGAAAAUAAUUUCAUGUGCUUUGUCCUUACCAAGUCUUGGAUUAGGUAGGAAAAUAACUGAGUCCUCUGUAUUAAAAGAACUGAGUUUCAUUUUUGCAACUCUGUAACUUUCUGUACCUGCCUCUGAAAUUUUAAUUGUCACUUGGUAGGAAUGAAUAACUAAGUACUUUACUGUUUUCACAGUGAACUCUGAUCCUGUUUGAUCACGUGUUUUAAACCUUUGGAUAUUUUUGACAAAUUUCUCACAUAUCAAAUUCUAAACGAAGUCCUUUUGACCCCAAACGAACUUUGGGAUUUUAAAAAGGAUCCCUAGACUAUCUCAAAAGAUUUGUUCCCUCUUCUUAUAAAAGAGAUGCUGAACAAAUUAUGUUUUGUUACAUUCCAUGGGAAGCAUUGUCAAAUAAAAAACGAAGUCUUUAGCUGAUAUCUGUAUAAAUAUAUGUUAGUAAUAUAAGCGUUCCAGAAUUUCUAUGAAAUUCUUAAAGUCUGACAUGUCUUGCUAUAAUGUUAUCAGUCAUAAUUCAGGUUAUUGUUUUAAAAUGUAUGUCACAUAAAAUAACCAAAUUUCUGGGGCUUCUGGGUGGCUCAGUCGGUUGAGUAUCCAACUUCAGCUCAGGUCAUGAUCUCAGAGUUCGUGAGUUCGAGCCCCACAUCAGGCUCUGUGAUGACCUGCUUCAGAUUCUGGGUCUCCCUCUCUCUCUGCCCCUCCCCUGCUUGCUCUUUCUCUCUCUCUCUUUGUCUCUCUCAAAAAUGAACAUAAAAAUUUUUUUUUAAAUAAGAACCAAAUUUCCUUGUCAAAGGCAUUAUAAUGAACUCUCACUACAUCUUUAACCAUGGCCAUUUAUAAGCCUUUUGCCAUUUACAGACACUUACUGUUUUAUUCUGAUGCUUUCACAAAAAACGUUCCUGCAAAAAUGCUUCCUUUACAAAGACAUUCAUGGGAACAACCCUAACAAGCAGUCCAGAAUGCAGGUUCUCUGAAAACCUCAAGACCAUAGCACUGAACUGAGUGAGGAUUUCUGAAACUUUAAUGGAAAACUGAUUGAGUCAUAAAGCCGCUAACUCAAGAUGAAGCAAAACAAUUUUGUUAAUUACAAAACACUGAACAAACUGAUAGAGAUGACUGUAAUUUGGACGACUUCAUUUACAACGUUGCUUGUUCUUUAAUGUCUUGUUUUCCAGAUGUAAAGGAUCCUUUUUCUCCUCUGUCUGAAGUUAUCUAUGACUCACAACAGUUUGGUAAAGUGUAUCUUUGCAACAAAGGUUGAAACAUUUUUCUUCCCCCUCCCCCCAUUCCUCCAGAAAUUAGAAACUCUUAUUAUUCUCUUUUUAAAUUGUUUUAUUUUUUAAUUAAAUAUUCUUAUUUUUCAUGACAAUAUGUGUGUUUGCAUAAGUUUAAAAAUAAUCUGUUCUCCCUAUAACAAGACAAAACUGGCUUGGCUUCCUGGCCUGGAGAUGCUUUUGAAAGUCUAAUCUGAGUUCCUUCAUGAAACAUUCCAGCAAAGUAGAUUUAACAGCACCUAUAAGGGGGCGCCUGGGUGGCUCAGUUGGUUAAGCAUCCAACUUCGGCUCAGGUCAUGAUCUCGUGGUUCACGGGUUUGAGCCCCUCUUCAGGCUCUGCCUUGACAGUUCAGAGCCUGGAGCGUGCUUCGGAUUCAGAGCCGGGAGCCUGCUUCAGAUUCUGUGUCUCCGUCUCUCUUUGCCCCUCCCCUGUUCUCUCUCUCUCUCUCUCAAAAACAAAUAAACAUUUUUGAAAAGCACCUAUGUGAUCAAUCACUAUUCCUGUGUACUUAUGUAAAUAAUCAUACCAAGUAUUUGGAAACAGUCUUAAUUUGCAAGCAAAUUAGUUUUACUGUGGUUAUCUUUGAUAGAAAUCGGGAUGAUUACAGAGAGAAAAAUAGGCUUCGAUAAUUAAUCUUUGUGGAUAUCAGAUUCUAGUGCUGUUUCUUGUCUCUGAGAUUUUGUUUUCUACCUGUAAUCUGGACUGGAUCCUGAAUUCUUCCAGUUUCCUCCAAAAUUUGGCUAGAAUUUUCCAAACUAACAUUUCCAAUUCUCCCAUUCUCUGGACUUGGAAUCUUUAUGAAACUAAAACCAUCCUUUGCCCAACGCUGGACAACUCGAUGUCAACUUCGGAGAGCUCAGCACAACAGCUCGUGUGUGGACAGCGACCCGUGCCUGGGGCCGUGUGACUGCUUGGAAAGAUCCCCAGGCACAUUCAUGCCGCAAGCCAGAGAAACAGGUCAGAUCACCACUGCCCUGCUCUCGCCUCAUCUGAAGAGUCUCCAACCCCGACGUCUGCAAACUCAACUGGCCACUCUCCAAACUCAGAAACUGAAUUUGUAAUUUGCUUGAAGUAUUAACCUUUUUCUUUUGUUGCCGUAGAAAUCUCUGUCGUUAAACCACCUGCUCGCUUGCGUCGUAUAGAGACCUGAUUUAGAUGGAGCCCAACUGAGGCACUGGCCAACACCCUCAAGUUCACCCUGUCCUAAGCAACUGUUGGGCGAUGCGACUGUUAAGACAUUAUGCAUGCUUUUGAAAAAUAACUUUAAAAAAAUAUAACCCAUUUAAUG